rnacentral:rRNA from 1 species
UACGUAGGGGGCUAGCGUUGUCCGGAAUCAUUGGGCGUAAAGCGCGUGUAGGCGGCCCGGUAAGUCCGCUGUGAAAGUCGGGGGCUCAACCCUCGGAUGCCGGUGGAUACUGUCGGGCUUGAGUGCGGAAGAGGCGAGUGGAAUUCCUGGUGUAGCGGUGAAAUGCGCAGAUAUCAGGAAGAACACCCGUGGCGAAGGCAGCUCUCUGGGACGGUACUGACGCUGAGACGCGAAAGCGUGGGGAGCGAACAGG